GGUAACCUACCUAUAAGACUGGGACAACUUCGGGAAACCGGAGCUAAUACCGGAUAAGAUAUCGAACCGCAUGGUUCGAUAGUGAAAGAUGGUUUUGCUAUCACUUAUAGAUGGACCCGCGCCGUAUUAGCUAGUUGGUGAGGUAACGGCUCACCAAGACAACGAUACGUAGCCGACCUGAGAGGGUGAUCGGCCACACUGGAACUGAGACACGGUCCAG
rnacentral:rRNA from 1 species